GGCCCGGGAGCUCAGUCGGUAGAGCAGAGGAUUGAAAAUCCUUGUGUCGGCGGUUCGAUUCCGUCCCAGGCCACCA
rnacentral:tRNA from 1 species